AUGAGCUUGACAGAGCACUCUGUGAAAGCUCUGACAGCACUACAGAGCACCGCUGCAGUGGUGCUUACCACUGAGAGCUUUGUGUGAUCAAGACUGCAGGCCAUCAACGCCAUGUAUGUGGGGUAAACUACAAGACAGAGGUCUUGAGAGCCCUGUCCUUCUGUGUAAAGCCCACAAGUGUGGAGUAGAGGACUCCUCCUUAUCUGCGGAGACGGGGUGGGAAGUGACCCGUCGCUCCUGAACGCUCAUCCCCGCAUGGACUCUCCUG
rnacentral:lncRNA from 1 species